AACGCAUAUUGCGCCCUUUGGACCUCCAUUGGGCAUGCCUGUUUGAGUAUCAUUUAACCCAUCAUCCGCGCUUCUGCUGGAUGGACUUGAGAGUCGAGUGCAUGCCCGUCUCUUUAAAUGCGAAUGCGCCAGGCAGUGUGCCCGAGCUAGCUGACUUUAUUAACAAUAACGUUGGUGUUGAUCUCGGUGCGCAAGCACUGCCAGAGGUGUAUACUGAGUGCGUCUUUGACGAACAAUUUUUUGAUCUCAAAUCAGGCAAGACUACCCGCUGAACUUAA
rnacentral:misc_RNA from 1 species